UUACGGCCAUAUCACAUUGAAACAAUAGUUCUCGUACGAUCACCGAAGUUAAGCAACGUCGAGCCUGGGCAGUGCCUAGAUGACAACUUGGGAAUAGCAGGUGUUGUAA